AUGAUAACUCUGCGGGCGAAGCCCGCCUCGCUGCUUAAUCUGAUUAAGUAAGCGCGGUUCGGGGGGCACCGGGCAACAGAAGCCCCCCACU
rnacentral:tmRNA from 1 species